rnacentral:rRNA from 1 species
GACUAGGGCCAUACUACCCUGAGCACGCCUGAAUUCAGAAGCUAAGCAGGGCUGGGCCUGGUUAGUACUUGGAUGGGAAACUGCCCAGGAAUUCCGGGUGCUGUAGGCC